rnacentral:pre_miRNA from 1 species
UUUUCAGUAUAAGUAUAUCUUAUGUAAUAUUUGGGACAUACUUAUACUACAA